CCAGACUCCUACGGGAGGCAGCAGUGGGGGAUAUUGCACAAUGGGGGGAACCCUGAUGCAGCGACGCCGCGUGGGUGAAGGAGUAUUUCGGUAUGUAAAGCCCUAUCGGCAGGGAAGAAGAAAGACGGUACCUGACUAAGAAGCCCCGGCUAACUACGUGCCAGCAGCCGCGGUAAUACGUAGGGGGCGAGCGUUAUCCGGAUUCACUGGGUGUAAAGGGGGCGCAGACGGCAGCGCAAGCCAGGAGUGAAAGCCCGGGGCCCAACCCCGGGACUGCUCUUGGAACUGCGCGGCUGGAGUGCAGGAGGGGCAGGCGGAAUUCCUGGUGUAGCGGUGAAAUGCGUAGAUAUCAGGAGGAACACCGGUGGCGAAGGCGUCUUACUGGACCGAAACUGACGUUGAGGCUCGAAAGCGUGGGGAGCAAACAGGAUUAGAUACCCCGGUAAUA
rnacentral:rRNA from 1 species